AGUGGAUGGGGAGCAACCUAGUUGUGCGUGUGUAAAGGUAGUGCCAAGAAAAGCGGUGAUCAUGAUGAAAAUCAAUUCCCGGUACCCGAAACCGACACAGGUGGGCAAGUAGAGAAUACUAAGGGGCGCGAGGUAACUCUCUCCAAGGAACUCGGCAAAAUGACCCCGUAACUUAGGGAGAAGGGGUGCCACCGAGAGGUGGUCGCAGUGAAGAGGCCCAGGCGACUGUUUAGCAAAAACAUAGGUCUCUGCAAACUCGAAAGAGGAGGUAUAGGGGCUGACGCCUGCCCAGUGCCGGAAGGUUAAAGAAGUUGGUCAGUCUUAGGAUGAAGCUAGCGACUGAAGCCCCGGUGAACGGCGGCCGUAACUAUAACGGUCCUAAGGUAGCGAAAUUCCUUGUCGGGUAAGUUCCGACUCGCACGAAAGGCGUAACGAUCUGGGCGCUGUCUCGGAGAGAGGCUCGGCGAAAUAGGAUUGUCUGUGAAGAUACGGACUACCUGCAUUUGGACAGAAAGACCCUAUGAAGCUUUACUAUAGCUUGGAAUUGUGUUCGGGCUUCCUGUGCGCAGGAUAGGUGGGAGGCGUAGAAGGUAUUCUUGUGGGGAUACUGGAGCCAACGGUGAGAUACCACUCUCAGGAGGCUAGAAUUCUAACUUAAUUAAGGACAGUUUCAGGUGGGUAGUUUGACUGGGGCGGUCGCCUCCAAAAAGGUAACGGAGGCGUACAAAGGUUCCCUCAGACUGGUUGGAAAUCAGUCGAAGAGUGCAAAGGCAAAGGGAGCUUGACUGCGAGAAGUACAGUUCGAGCAGGGUGGAAACACGGUCUUAGUGAUCCGACGGUGCUGUGUGGAAGGGCCGUCGUUCAACGGAUAAAAGUUACUCUAAGGAUAACAGGCUGAUCUCCCCCAAGAGUUCACAUCGACGGGGAGGUUUGGCACCUCGAUGUCGGCUCAUCGCAACCUGGGGCGGAAGUACGUCCCAAGGGUUGGGCUGUUCGCCCAUUAAAGCGGCACGUGAGCUGGGUUCAGAACGUCGUGAGACAGUUCGGUCCAUAUCCGAUGUAGGCGUGAGAAUAUUGAGAGGAGCCUUCCUUAGUACGAGAGGACCGGGAAGGACGCACCGCUGGUGUACCUGUUAUGAUGCCAAUUGUAAACGCAGGGUAGCCAAGUGCGGAGAGGAUAACCGCUGAAAGCAUCUAAGUGGGAAGCCCACCUCAAGAUGAGUAUUCUGGUGUAAGGUCACGGGAAGACGACUCGUAAAUAGGCACGAGGUGGAAGUGCAGAGAUGUAUGAAGCCGAAGUGUACUAAUAGACCGUCGGCUUGAC
rnacentral:rRNA from 1 species